rnacentral:rRNA from 1 species
CAACUUUCAACAACGGAUCUCUUGGCUCUCGCAUCGAUGAAGAACGCAGCGAAAUGCGAUACGUAAUGUGAAUUGCAAAAUUCAGUGAAUCAUCGAAUCUUUGAACGCACCUUGCGCCCCUUGGUAUUCCGAGGGGCACACCCGUUUGAGUGUCGUGA